rnacentral:rRNA from 1 species
UGGGGAAUUUUGGACAAUGGGCGCAAGCCUGAUCCAGCCAUGCCGCGUGCAGGAUGAAGGCCUUCGGGUUGUGAACUGCUUUUGUACGGAACGAAAAGGUGCCUUCUAAUAAAGGGCGCUCAUGACGGUACCGUAAGAAUAAGCACCGGCUAACUACGUGCCAGCAGCCGCGGUAAUACGUAGGGUGCGAGCGUUAAUCGGAAUUACUGGGCGUAAAGCGUGCGCAGGCGGUUUUGUAAGACAGAGGUGAAAUCCCCGGGCUCAACCUGGGAACUGCCUCUGUGACUGCAAGGCUGGAGUGCGGCAGAGGGGGAUAGAAUUCCACGUGUAGCAGUGAAAUGCGUAGAGAUGUGGAGGAACACCGAUGGCGAAGGCAGCCCCCUGGGCCUGUACUGACGCUCAUGCACGAAAGCGUGGGGAGCAAACA